UGGUGGGUGGACUCUGCAUGGUAGGAUUUUUCCCUGCCUUUGUCCCUCGAGGUCACUCAUCAGGGUGCUGCUGGGAUUAGAGGAUCUGAUCCCACUCAGCCCUUCCUUAGCAAGGCAAUGAGCUGUGCCUGCAUUUUAAAGGGACUGUCCAAGGCACAAAUAGAGGAUGAAUUCCACCUCUGCUAAGUCCCCAGAAUGGAGCAAAGACAAUCUGGAUGGAUCUAAGCUUGAAGAAGCAGAAUCCUUAAGUGAAAAAAGAAAAACACAUUUCCAAAGGCCACAUCGCCAGAUUUUGAAGUACAGUGAUGACACCAUGACAGCUGCAAUCAGCAGAUGCAUGAGAGCUGACAGUCCUUUGAUUUAAAAAAAAAGAGGGUUGCUGGCAAGGCAUUUUCCAUAAGGAGUUCCUUCUGAGCUCUGUAAGUCAUUUCACUUCAUAGCUCAAUAGGACCUUGAUUUGAUAACACUCAGGGCAUAUCACAAACCACACAUCUGCUCUCCCGGAGUCUCCCAGGAUGAGGGGUGUGACUGAGCUGGAGAGGCUUCUUGGGAUUCCAUUUCCUUCAGGUUUAGCUUAGCUGUGAGCCAGAUCUAUGCAAUUAUUGUUAACAAUUCACAUCUGAUGUGUCAUAUGACCUUACCAAGGCUUUGUGGUCCAUUGGACAAAACUGCUCCAUUUUGCCUUGAAGAUUUUCUUCUUUUCUGUGUUUCACGGGGUGUGUAACACUGAAGGGCUGAAUGGGCUCUACACCAGACCCAAGCAAACCACAGAUCUCAAGAUUGUUUCUGAGUAAAAGUGAGUGAACCGAUUUUUCUACACCAGUUCAGCCAUCCCAA